rnacentral:rRNA from 1 species
UCGGGGCGAUCUAGGCGGGCGAACCUCGCCAACGAACGAUCGGACAUGGGAUACGGAAGAGGGCGUCGGCUCGACUUCGUCGGUUCCUCGGGGCCGAGGCACGUACGGUGAAUAGGGACGGUCGGGGCCGCCCGUACCGGGUCGUGAGAGGUGAAAUUCUAGGAUCGACCCGAGACGAACUUGCCGCGAAAGCAUUCGGCAAGGACGCUUUCAUUAAUCAAGAACGAAAUCGGGGGGAUCGAAGACGAUCAGAUACCGUCGUAGUCCCGACCGUAAACGAUGCCGACCGAGGGCCCGGAGGAGUUAUGUACGACCCUCCGGGCCCUCCCGCGAGAAAUCAGGAGUAUUCGGGUUCCGGGGGGGAGUAUGGUCGCAAGGCCGAAACUUAAAGGAAUUGACGGAAGGGCAC